rnacentral:ncRNA from 2 species
UGCUUAUCCAGAAAGACCGAGGGACUGGGCCCGACGACGUCUUAGCAACCGGCCAACGCGGCAAGGUGCUAACUCCCAUCCGAGGCCGGUGCGGCGUUCGGAGAAGAUGAGCG